ACCAAAAAAAAUAAAAAUCAAGUGUUGUUAGAUUAUUUUUUUUUUGAAUAAAAGUGUUGUUAGUAGAAUAGAAUAAAGGUUUUCUUUAUACCAAAAAGAAAGAAUUAAGGUUUCUUCUAGUCUGUUCAACUCAAUCGCCAUUCCUUCAGAUUAGGAAACCUAAAUCCCUUCAUUUGACGAAGUCUCUGUCGUCCCUCGUCUCAACUCAAGCGCUCUCUUCUUCGAACUCUCUGCGUUCAAUCUUCUGGAGAUCUAACUCAUCUGCAUUUGUCUUCAAUCAAGUUUUGUGUUUUCCCCCUUCAAUUUCGCGGCCAUUCCUUCAAUUUCUCCGGUCAGUUCACCAAAACCCUAAUCUCAAAUCCAUUACCGUGAUGAAAGUUGCAAUUGGGAAUGAGCGGUGGUGGGGAGGAGGAAUUCACGGCCCAUGAUUAAGCAAAGCUCAUGUCUUAGUCUAUGGAAUGAAUGGAACAAAUAGAUGAAGUAAAGCUAUAAGUUGUCUAUAUGGGUAUCUCAACUACACAUAAUCCAUUUCCACAAAGUACAUGUUUCUUGAUGAACUCUUUUACCUUGCAAUCAUGAUCUGAGUUCACUUCUUCUGAAUUAUCUGAUAGUUUCAUAUUAUCAGUAACAUCAAUUAUAUAUAUCUUAACAGGCACAAUAAAAUCAUCCCAAUCAACCCAUUUCACAGUGUAUUUUAGGUAGAGACUUCUCUUUGGUCCCUCAAAACCUUCCUUCAACUUGCAUUGUGUAGAAUCAUAACAGCAUGACAAACCUCCUUUAUAAUCUGGCCUAAUAGACUUUCCAUGUGCAUCCACCGUAACAUUAUAAAGCUCACAUUUACACUCAGUGCACCCUAACUUAUCCUCCGCACCGCGUGUAUCAACGGCAUGAACAUUAACCAACCAUUUCUCCUCAAACCCUUCUGGAACCUCUGCAGGAUUACCUAUCUCUAUACCAAAAGGAUCCGGAAUAUCUGUUGCCGUUCCUCGUGUUUCGGAACCAAGGCCAAAGUACUGUGGAAUAACAGUUCCCUGACAUAUGCCACUGUUCCUCAGAAGAACAUGAUCAGAGUUUUGAAGCAGCCUGUGGCUAUCAUUUUCUGUGUGUGUGACAAGUUUACGUUGAUGAUAUUUUGCAACAGCCCAAUGAUGGAGAUAGGUUUCAUGCAGAGGUAUAGGAUUACCAGCUUCAUCAACUACUUCAGCAUCGAAACUCUUGAGUGCUACAUGACCUCUUGGAAAAUCAAUAUCAUAAUAAUAUCUAUUGCUAACUGAUCCAGGUCCUAGCUCAAAUUUAGGGGACAAAAAAACAGCUGAUUUUAUCUUAGCUUCAGUCUUCACAAAAGAACUUGAGCAUGGUGUGCUCAACAACAGCACAAGUAUUGACAGUGAAAAUACCAACUCUCUAGGUACAAACCACAUAUUGAUCUGUCAGACAAAUGUUUAUCAGUAAUUAGUAACUAAUUAUUGAGUAAAAGGAUAUUAAACAGCAGAUUAUGAAAAAUGUAUUGUCUUCAUCAAACUCACUUACAUGCCAGUACAAUAAUAUUCUGCAAUUAAAUGGCGGUCCAGUGGGCCAGAUACUGGUGCUGAAAACCAAAAAAUAUAAAUGAGUAUAAUAAUCAAAAGGUAAAUAUUGCAAAGUAGUGUUUUCUUAGGAAACCUCUGAAGAAUUGAAUUAAGAUACAAAGUAAACAAGCAUGAACAGAGUUUGCAAAUUGCACAGCAAAGGGCAAGUGAAUAUAAUGUGAGAUCCAUUCACCAAAUAAACUACACAAAUAAGCAUGAAAAAGAAUAGUUUGAACACAAUCAUGAUCAAGGUUUUAAAUCACAGUCAUGUUAUGAUGCAGCUAAAUACUGUUGAUGCAAGCAGCUUCAAUUGCAAUCACAACAGACAUUAAAAAAAAUAAUGUUAUGAUUAGAAUUGUUGUCACAGACUUUUUUUUUUUACUAACAGAACAGAACAUUUUAGAAACCCUAAUUAUAACAUAAACUGAUGACCUAUGAAGCCAAAAUACUUGAUACGAUACGGAUACAACACGGAUAUAGCGAUACCGUAAAAUCUGAAGAUUUAAGAUACUACAUAGCCAAGAUACUUUAAUAAAAAAUUAAAUUAAAAUAAAAUAUUCACUACUUAUUUAUUUCUUUGCAUAAGUUGUUUCGUAUAAGCUAGAAAAUUAGUGAAUCCGAAGGGGCCCAAAGUAUAGAAGUUGAUGACACCAAAUUAAGAUAUUGGAUCAUUUGAAACAGACAUGAAUUGCAAAACUAUAAAUUUUGAGGAAAAUAAAGAAACAAUAUGAAACAUCAACAAGUGUAAGAGAUUGCGUACCUGGAAAAGAUUGACGAGAAAGUUAGAUAUGAAUGAAAGUAGAUUGAUUCGGUUAUUUAUAGAUGAAGACGGAAUAAAAAUGAACGUGUGAGAACAGGCCACAUGAGAAAUUGAGAACGUUUUUCACAACCUUUCAUUUUUAUAUUUUUUAUUUUUUAUCAAAAGUGGCUAAAUGUGAAACAACAACAACAAGAAACAAAAAAAAGUCACAGCCUUUCAUUUCAUUUCACACUCGAGAUGGAAAGUUUUCAGUCCUAAUUAGAAACUCGUAUUCAUUUGGUUCUUUCUUCAUUUGGAUUCGAGACACAAAUAUUUUACGGGGAUCCGUCUAAUCUGAUUUGGAGGUCCGUUUUAACAUUAAGUGGUUUCAGCCCCUCUGAUCGCAGUUGUGUGGAUGGAACGGUGGUUCUCCUACCAAAUCCGGCGCCAAAAUGAUUAAUAUUUUAUUUGCUUUAGAUAACAUGGUUAAGCAAAACUGAGCUGUAGGAAUCGAAUGAAUAGUUAUUUAAGGACCAAAGGUAUCAAAUUCAAAUCCAUCAUUGUAGUGCAAAAAAUGAAGGUCAUCCCAUAAAAUGUCUCUAUGUAACUGAGGAAGUAACAACGGCUAGAGACUAGAGUUGAGACGAAGUUGCAACCGGAGGGCGCAGCAAUGAUAGAGCUGUGAAUGAAGAUGCAGAGGCGGCCGAUGAAGAAAUGGCGGUGAGGAGUCGAUGGAAAAGGAAGCGAAUGCGUUCACAAUUUGGCGAAGAGUGGCAGACAACUGACUUGUUCCGUAAGGAAGCCACACCUGUGGGGAACCUAUGCUUGUUCCGUAGGAACUUUACAAGUUUGUUUUAAGAGAGAUGAUCUUUUAAUUAAGCAACUUCAUAACAUAAGCAACAUUAGCUAACUCACAAUUCCUAAUUUUAAACCAAACAUGGUUUGUCCAUAUCCAUUGCCUAAAAUUUGUGAUGUGUAACAUCAAAAUAAAUAAAAAUGGCUAAUGAGUU